GACGGAAGGUGCAAGCGUUGCUCGGAAUCACUGGGCGUAAAGGGUGCGUAGGCGGCCGCGCAAGUCUGGCGUGAAAGCCCCGGGCUCAGCCCGGGAAGGGCGCUCGAAACGGCGCGGCUCGAGUGCCGGAGGGGAGAGUGGAAUUCCUGGUGUAGCGGUGAAAUGCGUAGAUAUCGGGAGGAACACCAGAGGCGAAGGCGGCCUACUGGGCUGCACCUGACGCUGAGCCGCGAAAGCCAGGGGAGCGAACGGG
rnacentral:rRNA from 1 species